GACGAACGCUGGCGGCGUGCCUAAAACAUGCAAGUCGAACGGUGAACCGGAGCUUGCUCCGGGAAUCAGUGGCGAACGGGUGAGUAACACGUGAGAAACCUGCCUCGAAGUCUGGGAUAAGCCAGGGAAACUUGGUCUAAUACCAGAUGCCUUCACAACUUCUUAUGUUGAUGUGAAGAAAGUUUUUCGCUUCGAGAGGGUCUCGCGUCCUAUCAGCUUGUUGGUGGGGUAACGGCCACCAAGGCUUCGACGGGUAGCUGGUCUGAGAGGAUGAUCAGCCACACUGGGACUGAGACACGGCCCAGACUCCUACGGGAGGCAGCAGUUAGGAAUCUUGCGCAAUGGGCGAAAGCCUGACGCAGCAACGCCGCGUGAGGAUGAAGGCUUUCGGUGUAACCUCUUUCAGUAGGAACGAAUUGACGUACCUACAGAAGAAGCUCCGGCCAACUACGU
rnacentral:rRNA from 1 species